GAAGUGCUCCUGUUGUAGUCACUCUCCAGCAUUGCAUUCUCCUUGUGAGUUUGAAAAGGAAAAUUUCCUCUGUACAUCUCCGGUCAACCACAGGAAUUCCAUCCUGCAUCCCAGCAAAGGAAGCAGCUGAACACUGCUAGACCUCACUUUAGUGUCUGAUACUGGAUGGACAUGACCCAGAAGUUUAUUAGUGGCUUGGCUAUAUCAAAUUUAUUGAGGAAAAAAGCUUUGAAAAGGCAGCUGAUGAGAACAGAGGAAGGAGCAGAUGAUGGCACCAAAUCCUGCCCUGGAGCUGAGCAGGGCUCAAGGAGCAGCCCCGUGUGGAGGAGCAGAUGGUGCUCUGCAAACUAUCAGCUGCAUUUUGUGGAGCAUUUCUGGAGCUGAGGGACAACUGUCUGGGAAUUUCCAGGUCAGGUAACCUUGCUCACUCUUGUGGAAAGCCUGAGGAGCUCCAGGAGGGAUUUAAAGAAGAGAUCUUCCUCUCCUGUUCAGCUAAUUACGAGCUCCUCCCUUCCAAACUCCUGAUCUCGUCACACAGCCGAAGGCGUCGACGGCAGAGCAGAGCCCGGAUUUGGGAGCUGGCGGUGCCGCGCCGCUGUUCCCGCAGCAGCCGGGUGCUUCUCCCUGUGCCUCUGGAGCCUGCCAUUGUGCUGGGAAGUGGAGCAGGUAACCACUUCAUCAGGCCGAGAUUCCAUUCUCGUGGAGCACGGAGGUUCAUUAUACUCACUUUAUCAGCAGUGCGCUUUACUGCCGAAUCCAUGAGAGAUAUUCAUGUGAAACAUGAGCAGAGAGAGAGGCAUUGCAUCUUUUCAUUAAUAAGCCCUCUUCUGGGAUCCGGCAUUAGCGAGAUUCAGCGGAUCAUAGAGCACAGGGGUAUCAUUUUUACAUGA
rnacentral:lncRNA from 1 species